rnacentral:rRNA from 1 species
GCAUGUUUAUGAAGCGACAAGGUUGCGGAUUGAUAGACGGCUCAGUAAUACUGCGAUGAUUUGAUUGAUGAUUGUUUGUAACUACGGGAAACUGUAGGUAGGGAUGUGUAGGAUACUGAUUGUAUGUGUGUUGAGUAAGUUGCAGGCCUAUCAACUGGUAGUUAGGGUAAUGGCCUAACUAGGUAGUGACGGGAGACGGGGGAUUAGGGUUUGAUUCCGGAGAGGGAGCCUGAGAGAUGGCUACUACGUCCAAGGAUGGCAGCAGGCGCGAAACUUGCCUAAUCUUUUGUAAUAGGAGGCAGUGAUGAGACGUUUAGUAAUAGUGGUGCAUUGUAAAGAGAUGUACUGAUAUUGGAGGGCAAGUCGGGUGCCAGCAGCCGCGGUAAUACCUGCUCCGAUAGUGUCUAUGGUUAAUGCUGCAGUUAAAAAGUCCGUAGUUUUUAUUUUAGUUGUAUGUUUUGUGAUGCUUGUGUUUUUAGGGGGCUAUGGAUGUACAAAUGGUUGUGCGCAACGGAUGAGGGGCAUUGGAUAGUUGGGCGAGAGGUGAAAUGUGAUGACCCUGACUGGACGAACUGAAGCGAAAGCGAUGCUCUUGGAUGGAUGUGUGGAUCAAGGACGAAGGCUGGAGGAUCGAAAUCGAUUAGAUACCGUUUUAGUUCCAGCAGUAAACGAUGCCGACUGGAUGGUGUUUGUAUGAGCACUGUGCGAGAGAAAUUGAUAAGUAUGUGGGUUUUGGGGAUAGUAUGUUCGCAAGAGUGAAACUUAAAGAGAUUGACGGAAGGACACCACCAGGAGUGGAGUGUGCGGCUUAAUUUGACUCAACGCGGGACAACUUACCAAUGCCAAAUUGUACUUGAGAGCGAAUACCUUGAGGUACGAGAUGGUGGUGCAUGGCCGUUUUAAAUGGAUGACCUGAGUUGAAGAUAAUUUCUGUAGAUGUGAGACCCUAAGUGACGGCUUCCUGUAUUGAUGAGGAGGGGUAGGAAAUACACAGGACC